rnacentral:misc_RNA from 1 species
GAUGAAGAACGCAGCGAAAUGCGAUAAGUAAUGUGAAUUGCAGAAUUCAGUGAAUCAUCGAAUCUUUGAACGCACCUUGCGCCCUUUGGCUAUUCUGAAGGGCAUGCCUGUUUGAGUAUCACGAACACCUCAACUCUCAUGGUUCGCCAUGAUGAGCUUGGACUUUGGGGGUCUUGCUGGCCUACGGUCGGCUCCUCUCAAAUGAAUCAGCUUGCCAGUGUUUGGUAGAGUCGCAGGUGUGAUAACUAUCUACGCUUGUGGUUUUCUGCCAGAUAACCUUCAGUGAUGGAGGUUCGCUGGAGCUUAUAAAUGUCUCUCCCCAGUGAGGACAGCUUUUUGAACGUUUGAUCUCAAAUCAGGUAGGACUACCCGCUGAACUUAAGCAUAUCAAUAAGCGGAGGA